rnacentral:rRNA from 1 species
GUGGGGAAUAUUGGACAAUGGGCGAAAGCCUGAUCCAGCCAUGCCGCGUGUGUGAAGAAGGUCUUCGGAUUGUAAAGCACUUUAAGUUGGGAGGAAGGGCAGUAAGUUAAUACCUUGCUGUUUUGACGUUACCGACAGAAUAAGCACCGGCUAACUUCGUGCCAGCAGCCGCGGUAAUACGAAGGGUGCAAGCGUUAAUCGGAAUUACUGGGCGUAAAGCGCGCGUAGGUGGUUUUGUAAGUUGGAGGUGAAAUCCCCGGGCUCAACCUGGGAACUGACUCCAAAACUGAAUGACUAGAGUACGGUAGAGGGUAGUGGAAUUUCCUGUGUAGCGGUGAAAUGCGUAGAUAUAGGAAGGAACACCAGUGGCGAAGGCGACUACCUGGACUGAUACUGACACUGAGGUGCGAAAGCGUGGGGAGCAAACAGGAUUAGAUACCCGAGUAGUCC